UCCCUCCUUUCCUCAGCAAAGGGGGCCAACUGAGGCAGCGAGGUGGACGGUUCCCCCACAGCCCCAGCUCUUAGUGGUGGAGUGGAGCCCAGCCCUUCCCGGGUGGUCAUGCGCGAUGGAGUCCAUGCUUAGAGGCUUCCCUCUCCUCGGUUCAGGGUAUACCUCGGAGCACCCGUAGCCUGAGAAGCUGCCCAUCACCUGGGUGACCGUGGGAUCAGCCCCCGGCUCAGGAUGAAGGCCAACUCACACUAUGGAGCAAUCUGAAAGCAGGCCAGUGUCAGGCACCUGUGGUUCCAGGCAGAAGCCCGAGUGCAGAGCCAGGUCCGGCAGACGGUCCCCAGGUGCUGAUGGCCUUGCCCAGCUGCUCAUGGACCUGAGCUCCCUCGCUGUGGCUGGUAUACUGUCACUUCACCUCCAGAGAGACCAUGCUAGGUCCCCACGUGUGGGUUUCCUUCCCUGUACCUUCUCCUUCAAACCCACAGAGGUCACCAGGUGUGUCUGAACUGUAUCUUCACGCGAGGCCUCACGUGAUGCUCGACAGCCUGGCUUGUGGAGGGCCAGGCGACCAAAGCCUGAAGAGAAGAGGGGCUCAGUGUUCACUGGCCAGCCUUGGCCCUCAGGCUCUUUCCUGCUUAUCCCACCCCCUUUUCUCCUGUAUCACCUACAGGGACUUGCAUGGUAAGGGGGGCAGCUCGGGAGAAGAAGGCUGGCAUAACCCUCCCUCCCUAAGAAAAACACUAGCAGGGCUGUUUUCGGCAUCCUGACGGCUGGGGGAGCACCUUGCAGGGCUGCCUCCUAGUCCCUGGCCUGCCGUGGCCCUUGAGUCAGAAGUCGUGGAGAGAGGGGGCUGACCCAAGAUAGGUGCAGAUAGCAGGCUACUUUCCGGGUACCAAGGGGUAGAGGCUUGGGGGGCAGGGGCCCUUCAGGGGUAGGAAUGAAAGCUUACGUAUUCCAGAAGUGCAGAGGAAUCGGCCGCCAGCUGCAGUCAACCUCUACGUGGUGACCUUCCUGCUGACCCUCUCUGGCAUCUUGGUGCUGGCUGUUAUCUUCGGCCAGGCAAGCCCAUGGUCUGGGCCCUGGGCUCCUGGGUCCCCUCACCGGGGCUGCCGGCUCUUCUGUAGGUCGAGGGAGCCUUUGGGGUAAGACUACACUUGAGUCCCCUUCCCUUCUAAGUCAUGGUUUCAAAGGCCAUGGCCCUGUGCCACCACAUCACUCACGUCCCAGCGGGCCCAGCAGUCGCUGGAGCUUUGUGGGCCAAGGCCUUCCCCUCCCUGGCUGUGGUCCAGGAAAGCUGCCUCCCCCUCCAAAGCCCCACCCUCUGCCCCUGAGAGGUUGUCAGCUUAGCUUCCGUCCUAGACCUUCCCCAGCCAGGCGGUCUGUUCUCUGAGCCCGGCUUGCCCCGCAGCGCCAACCUUCCCUGGCACACAGCCGGGCCACAC